rnacentral:misc_RNA from 1 species
AUGGACGUCGUAGACAGUGACAGAUAUCGGGAGGCGGUGGAACGGCUGCGGCGCCUCCUCUACGACCCUCCACCCUGGGAUGCUCCGCCCACGGUGCACCCAGACCACGCCCUUCACUCCACCCACCACACUUACAACGCCUCCCACUACACUGCAGUGAGUGGCGGUGACAUGGAGGGCGUCCGCGUGGGUAUGGGCCUCGGUGGCGUUCCCUCUCGGUGGCUCCUGGAGAUGCUGCGUCACCAGGAAGACCUUAUUGCUCAACUCGAGAAGGAGAAUGAGUUCUUGAAGAGAGAAGUCGUGUCCGUUGGCGAGGGCGUGAAGUCCAUGGCGAAGGAGAACACGGAGCUGAACAGAAGAUUAACGGAGUCUCUAAACCAAGCCAUUAACACAGGCGAAGGAUCAGACAUUUCUAGCUACAACUUAGAUGAGAUGGAUGAGGCCAUUCAGCGACAGGUGGCAGCACUAAGCAGGGAAAGAGCCCUUCUGCAGGAGGAAGUGGGACGACUUGAAGGAUCUCUCGCGGCCGUGACCAAGCGGGAGCAGGAGGCGCUGGCGAAACUCAACCACGCCCUCGCUCUCGCCCAGGAUACACACGCACACACAGCCAAGGUCAGAGCGAGCAGCGAGUCGGCCCUCGAGGAGGUGACCAACCUGCUGACGGUGACGCAGCAGGAGGGCAAGGAGCUGAAGCGCCAGCUGGCCGACGCCGAGGAGAGGCUGAAGAAGCAGGAGGGCAACGCCGAGGAGCGCGAGGCUCAGCAGAGGCAGCGCCUUCAGCGGCUCGAGGACGACCGGGACGAGUUGGAGCAGCUCGUCUCGCAGGUCAAGCAGCAGGUGCGGGACGGCGCGAGAAAGAUCGCGGAUCUCGAGGAGGACCUGCACGUGGCCAAGGCGGCCCGCCUCCGCCUCGAGGCCCAGCUGGAGGAGCAGCGGCAGCACUCGAAGGACGCCCACAGCAGACUCGAUCAGAUCAUUAUGGCGCGCAGCGGCGAGGCGGCGGCGGGGGCGGCGAGGGCGAGGGAGCUGGAGGAGAGGCUGAGCGUGGCCAGGCAGGACUCCAAUCGACUCCUUCUCACCAUCACGUCCUUGGCGCAGGGUACGGGGAGGACCACUGAACUCGACACGACAGAUGACGUCAAGAGCGAGAGACGAGCGGCGGAACAGCAGUUGAGUGCUACCUUGGCCGCUCUCCAGACUAAGCACGAAGAUGAAGUGAUGAAGCUGCGGGAGGCGGCGGACCAGCAGAGCGAGGCCAUGAAGAGCCUGAAGGAGGAGGUGGAGCGAAUGAGGCAACAGCUGGCCGAUGACAACGAGAAGUAUCGAGUGUGCUUGGAUGAGGUUGGACGGGGUCUGGCGGCUCUGACCACCUCAAGCCCCGACCAGAAAACUCAGCCCUUCAAAGGAGCCUCUGAUGCGGUCAGCAAGGACUUGAAAGGUUUGGAGGAUCCCGACAGAGGGCUUCCGAGAGCGACUUCUGCGACUACUGCCGUCGACAGCAAGAAGAAGGGUAGAGACGCCUCGCGCGACGCUGCCGACAGGGAGAGGGAUGGAGUAGAAAAGGAAGGAACGGAGAGAGAACCUGAGGGAACGGAUGUCGUAAAAAUAGCCGAGGAAGCUCCUAAAGAGGAAAAGGAAGAGGCAAAACGAGGUGACAAAGAGGAAGACCAGGCUAAAGACACAAAAGACGACAAAAGCGGCGCGGAGGAGGGGACUGGCAAAGCCGAAGGUGAAGACGACAAGAAGAGAGAAGAUGACGCAGAAGAGGGGAAGAACGAAGCCAAAGGCGGAGAUGACGAACAGAAAGACGACGACGCAGAAGAAGAAAGCGACAGCGCCAAAGGAGGAGACGACGACACGAAAGACGGAGAUGGCGACGCAAAUGACGGAGAUGACGCCAGGGGAGGGGACAACGAGCCUGACGAAGAUGGCGGCGACGCGCAGGGAGGUGGCGACGGCGAAAAGGAAGGCGCCGACGAAGGAAAGGGCGAACCCGACGACAGCCGUGGGAGCGCUGACGGCACGGAGGGAGAGGCAGACCCCAAAGACAAGGAGAAAGACGCAGGAACGGGCGAAAGGAAGGAGGAGGACAGUUCAGAGGCCAAGCAGGAAGAACCCUGUGAAGACAAGGACUGCGAAAGAUGCGUGAACUGGUCGAUGAUAAUGGACACCCUCGAGGACGCGCUGCAGGGCCUUCAGCUGGACAUCAACAAGCAAACGGCCCGCCUUGAGAGGCUGUCGGCGAGGGAGAGGGCCCAGUGCGACAACUGCACCAUGCAGCACCUGGUCCUCGGCGCUGUCUACAACAGGCUCGACAACGUUGACAAGUACUCUCACAUGUUGGACGACAGGAUACAGUCGCUCUCCCACAGGUGGGCUGGAGGUCGCUUGUCGGUGCUCGCUCUUUAACAGCAUGUCCUCCCUGUGGCUCGUUUGAUGGCAGAAACCACUUCUUUGCAGAGUAAAGGCCAAAACACCUACUGCUGAGCUGUUAGACAUUGUGAGGACAACGGGCAAGGAGAGGGACGUCCUACGCCAGGAAGUCACGUUCCUUCGGAGGAUAGUGUCGACAUCUUCGGAUCCUACAGCUGCUCUUGUCAUGCCGCCCCUCGAACCCCUG